rnacentral:lncRNA from 1 species
AUGGCCUUGAUUGUCCACACGUCUGGAUAUCGCGGUUUCGAACCGCAAGAGGCCGUUUUUUGUUAUGUCGUCGUUUUUUUCGUUAGGAAAAAAAGCUUUUGCAAAUCACCCAAACUCCCACCAUUCAGGCCCUUUCCUUUUGCCCCUCAGCAAAAGGGGCGUCACGGGCUCAGCCAAUGGGAGGGGGCGAGGGGGAAGGAGGCCGAGGAGGAGGAGGAAGACGGAGGGGGAAAUGGCCACCGCCGCCUCGCCUCAGCUCAGGCCUGGUGUCUCUCUGUGAGGCAGGAAGGCGGCGGAUGGAGCCGGGAAUGGAGAGACCGAGAGAGACAGAGACACGCAGAGAUGGAGGCUGGUGCGGGGCCCGGCGGUGAGGAGGAAGAGGCCCAGGAUGUGAGGGGGUGUGGGCCAGGGUGGGAGAAAGAACUCUUGUCUGUGGGAGGCAAGUGUGAAUGUUGCAAUUGGUCACCUUUGAUUAGCAUUGAAUAGCCUUGCAGCUUCAAAGCCUGGCUGCUUCCUACCUGGGGGAAUCCUUUGUUGGGAGGUAUUAGCUGGCCCUGAUUGUUUCCUGUCUGGAAUUCCCAUUUUCUGGGUGUUGUUCUUUUACUGUCCUGAUUUUAGCUUUUCUGUAGCUAAAAAUGCAUAUAAAAUUGAUUCUAUAGGGAGGAUAAAUGAUUGGAUUUCAACUCCUACAGCUUAGCUUUCUCUGCCAAUAAUGGUACCAUACCAAACUAAAGCUCCCAAGAUUCUGUAGCAGUGAGCCAUCUUGGAUAUUGUAAGGGAUUUAUUAUUAUUAUUAUUAUUAUUAUUAUUAUUAUUAUUAUUAUUAUUAGACCUUGCUCCCAGGAAGGUGCCUUCGCUGUGGCUCCCAACUUAUCUAUCUCUACCUUUCCACAUAUUCUCCACAUUGUGUGUAUGUGUAUGUAUAUUAUAUAUAUAUGAGCCCCGAUGGCGAAGUGUGUUAAAGCACUGAGCUGCUGAACUUGCAGACCGAAAGGUCCCAGGUUCAAAUCCCAGGAGCAGAGUGAGUGCCCGCUGUUAGCUCCAGCUUCUGCCAACCUAGCAGCUUGAAAACAUGCCAAUGUGAGUAGAUCAAUAGGUACCGCUCUGGCGGGAAGGUAAUGGCACUCCAUGUAGUCAUGCCGGCCACAUGACCUUGGAGGUGUCUAUGGACAACACUGGCUCUUGGGCUUAGAAAUGGAGAUGAGCACCAACCCCCAGAGUCAGACAUGACUGAACUUAACGUCAAGGGAUACCUUUACCCUUACCUAUACACACACACACACACACAUAUGCAGGGACUAUAUAUAUAUAUAUAUACAGUAUAUAUCACACACACACCAAUUUAACAAAGUUUCAGCCACAAAAACAAAGUUUCUGAAGUAGAACAAUGACUUUCACAGUAAAGACAACCCAAUUUAACAGGAAAUAAGACUUUCAAACCAGGAACAGAUUUCUGCAAUUAUUAAAAAAUGGUUUAUUAUAAAAGCUAUGAAAAUUCGCCAAAAAUCAGAGGAUAAGGGAAAUGUUCCACAUUUUGGUGAGCUAUCAGUGUUAAAUAUGUUCUACCACUGUACCAAGUUGGAAGAAGAUCACUCAAAAAAUGAGGGCGGGAGAGUCCUGUAAAGUCCCCUCCCUCUGUGCUGUUUUUGGGAAUUGCGCAUGCGCGUCCGCCAUUAACGAAUUAAUUUAGAAAAUAAUGAAUUUUCGUUAAUUUUGAAUUUUUGGGGGGGCAAAAUUCGGAAAUGACAUCAGAAACGAAACGCUGGCGCCCCCUGCUUUUGAAACGAGUUUAGAAUCAAUUUUUUCAUGGAUCACUAAAGCCUAUUAGCUACUUACAGGGAUUUAAAAAAUAAAAAUCCUUUAUCUUUCUGUUUAUUCACAACAGUGAACAUGGGCAGGGAUGGGGGGUGGGGAUGUUAACUUUCUAUGGAUACAGACCUUAAAGAGAGACUCUGACUUAGAAAGUAUUUCUGGUACAAACAUGACCUUGCAUUGAUAUUUCCUCCUAAAUCCAAGUCAUUAAGGGUCAAACCUUUUUUCUUAAAGAUGAAUAAAGUUAGAGUAGUGCUUCCAUUACUUUCGUUGCCCAAAAAUUCUUUAGUUCCAUAAUGUGGUAAUCAGAGAACAGUGAAGUAUUUAAAUGAUGCAAGCCACGCGUGCUCAUUAAAUGUUUUAAACUGAGAUAAGUAAAGUUGAGUCUGAAAUAGAAACCAUAAUAAGGAACUGCGCACGUAAGUAUAAACUGUAUCACAUGGCUGAAAUGAUCAAGGGAUGGUUGCUCCACAUCAUGAAGCUGUGGAUCCUACAGAUCCCGGAACUAGUUCAAGGUCAGCCUUUGUGGUUUGUAUAAGCACUAUCCAGGCGUCAAACCAGUUCUAGAAUUUUCUUCUCUGCCAGUUUCACACUGACCUAAGUGCUUCGUGUGGAUGUGUCCUGUGUUAGACUAAAAUUACAAGUAUUUCCUUCUUUGUCCAAGCAUUACUUACUUUAGAGACCUAGGACAUUAUUUUGGAUGAACUGUCUGCCAAGUAUCCCAGAGACCUUUUGAAUGACACUGGGAAAGGGGGUUUUCUCGCUCAACUUUGUCAUCUGGGUUCUCAGUUCAGAAGCAGGGAGCAAGGUGGUGGAGUUGCAAUAGUCGCUUUAAGUUUAUUGAUGUUAAUUUGUAUUUUGAUUUAUGCACUUUCGUUGACUAUGGUAUUGAAAGUUUGCCUUUUUGUAUGUAAACCACUCAGAGUCCCCUCAGGAAGAGAGAGCGGUCUAUAAAUAAAGUGGGUUGUUGUAUGUCUUUCGGGCUGUGUGGUCAUGUUCCAGAAGUAUUCUCUCCUGAUGUUUCGCCCACAUCUAUGGCAGGCAUCCUCAGAGGUUGUGAGGUAUGGAUAAACUAAGUAAGGAAAGGAAAGAAUAUAUAUCUGUGUAGAGUCCAGGGUGUGGUAAGAGUCCUUUGUCACUGGGAGCCAGCAUUAAUGUUUCAGUUAAUCACCCUAAUUAGCAUUGGAAAUGUUUUGUCUCUUGCCCGGGGGCAUCCUUUGUUCAGUCAAGCCCUCAGAGUUUUGGUUCCCAUCUACUGUUUUGAUUUUGGAGUUUUGUAAUACUGGUAGCCAGAUUUUGUUCAUUUUCAUGGUUUCUUCCUUUCUGUUGAAGUUGUCCACAUGCUUCUGGAUUUCAAUGGCUUCUCUGUGUAGUCUGACAUGAUAGUUGUUGGAAUGGUCCAGCAUUUUUGUGUUCUCAAAUAAUAUCCUGUGUCCAGGCUGGUUCAUCAAAUGCUCUGCUAUAGCUGAUUUCUCUGGUUGAAUUAGUCUGCAGUGCCUUUCAUGUUCUUUGACUCUUGUUUGGGUGCUGCGUUUGGUGGUCCCUAUGUAGACUUGUCCACAGCUGCAUGGUAUCCAGUAGACUCCUGCAGAGGAGAGAGGAUCCCUCUUGUCCUUCGCUGACUGUAGCAUUUGUUGGAUUUUCUUUGUGGGUCUGUAGAUAGUUUGUAGGUUGUGCUUCUUCAUCAGUUUGCCUAUGCGGUCAGUGGUUCCCUUGAUGUAUGGUAAGAACACCUUUCCUCUGGGUGGAUCAUUGUCUUGACUCUCAUGGCUUGUUCUUGGCCUUGCAGCUCUUCUGAUGUCUGUGGUGGAUACUAUCUAUCUAUCCCUCUGACCAGGUGCCCUAUCCUACAGUUUUCUGGGUUCACGUUUUUCAUCUGAAGAUAGGUGACUGGAACAAAUUAAGAAUUCUGGUGGUGUACCAACCAUCCCACUGAUCAAUCAUCGUUCUUCCUGAGCUAGCCAGAGUGGUCCAAAGUUGGUAUUGGCCCUAUACCAGUCAAGAUGGUGACCAAAAGCAACACUGAAUCAGUUAUGGUCACCAUUUUUUGUCAGAUAGAUUUAUAUUUAUUAGAGGAUCACUAUCAGGGGUUCCAGUCUGCAGGAGGGAUGUUAAAUUUGCCCCUCUAUCUCUGAGUAGUUGUUCCUUAGAGCAUCAGUCAGCUAAAUUUGUUAAAGUUUAACUGAGAUAUAUGAUAAUGAACUGACAGCUUAUUUGAAAAUAUUUUGGCUUUAGUUUACCAGAAAAAAAAGGAACAAGCAGUGAACAAACUCAACAAGGGGGAGAAGAGGUGUAGAAUCUUGCUUUUCAUAAGACACUCAAUCAAAAGCAAAGUGCUAUAGUCCUUAAUUUAUCUGCUUCCCAUUAAUAACUUUUGCCAUCUU